rnacentral:rRNA from 1 species
GACGAACGCUGGCGGCGUGCUUAACACAUGCAAGUCGAACGAAGUGGCGAACGGGUGAGUAAUACGUGGGUAACCUGCCCUCCUUUUUGGGAUAAGCCUUGGAAGCGGGGUCUAAUACCGAAUAAAGGGGGAUGGGCUCGCGGCCUAUCGGCUUGUUGGUGGGGUGAUGGCCUACCAAGGCGGGGACGGGUAGCCGGCCUGAGAGGGUGACCGGCCAAAUUGGGACGGGGAUACGGCUCAGACUGAUACGGGAGGCAGCAGUGGGGGAUAUUGCACAAUGGGCGCAAGCCUGAGGCAGGGACGCCGCGUGGGGGAUGAAGGCGUUCGGGUUGUAAACCUCUUUCGCUAUAGAACGGGUAGGUGGAGAAGAAGCGCCGGCUAACUACGUGCCAGCAGCCGCGGUAAUUC